rnacentral:rRNA from 1 species
UACGUAGGGCGCAAGCGUUAUCCGGAAUUAUUGGGCGUAAAGAGCUCGUAGGCGGUUUGUCGCGUCUGCCGUGAAAGUCCGGGGCUCAACUCCGGAUCUGCGGUGGGUACGGGCAGACUAGAGUGAUGUAGGGGAGACUGGAAUUCCUGGUGUAGCGGUGAAAUGCGCAGAUAUCAGGAGGAACACCGAUGGCGAAGGCAGGUCUCUGGGCAUUAACUGACGCUGAGGCGCGAAAGCGUGGGGAGCAAACAGG